rnacentral:tRNA from 1 species
GACGCCAAAUGCGAUGUUGUCGUAGAUCGACAUCGGAAACGGCGUCGGUUUUUGGAACAACAUGCCGAUGCGCGCGCGCAGCAGGUUCAAGUCCUGCUUUUCGUCG